rnacentral:lncRNA from 1 species
GCAAAUAUGGGGCGGUUCGAUAUUGUCUCUAAGGACGUGGGUGUUCCUGUUGUAGCAUUUUCUCUCAGAGACAGCAGCAAAUAUACGGUAUUUGAAGUGUCUGAGCACCUCAGAAGAUUUGGAUGGAUCGUCCCAGCAUACACAAUGCCUCCAGAUGCUGAACACAUUGCUGUUCUGCGGGUUGUCAUUCGAGAGGAUUUUAGCCACAGCCUAGCAGAGAGACUUGUAUCAGACAUUGAGAAAAUUCUGACAGAGUUAGACACACAGCCUUCUCGUUUGCCCACCAUAUCUGCUCGCGUCACUGCAGAGGAAGUGCAGAAUGACAAGGGUGAUGGGUUUCAUCAGUUUCACACCGAUAUUGUAGAGACUCAGAAGGACAUAAUCAAGCAUUGGAGGAGAAUUGCGGGGAAGAAGACCAGCGGAGUUUGUUAG